GAUGAACGCUGGCGGCGUGCCUAAUACAUGCAAGUCGAGCGAACAGAUGAGGAGCUUGCUCCUCUGACGUUAGCGGCGGACGGGUGAGUAACACGUGGAUAACCUACCUAUAAGACUGGGAUAACUUCGGGAAACCGGAGCUAAUACCGGAUAAUAUAUUGAACCGCAUGGUUCAAUAGUGAAAGACGGUUUUGCUGUCACUUAUAGAUGGAUCCGCGCCGCAUUAGCUAGUUGGUAAGGUAACGGCUUACCAAGGCGACGAUGCGUAGCCGACCUGAGAGGGGGACCGCCCAAACAGAACCGAGAACCGGUCCCAAACUCCUAGGGGGAGCAGGAGGGGGAAUCCUCCCCAAGGGGGGGAAAGGUUAAGGAGGGAACGCCGGGGGGGUAAAAAAGUGCUUCGGAUCGUAAACCCUUGUUUUUGGGGAAGAAAAAAUGUUAAGUGAAUUAAAACAGUUGUGAGGGAACCAAAGAGAAAACCCACGCCAACCCGCGG
rnacentral:rRNA from 1 species